AGACCGGACAGCGCGGCGAGUUCGGCGGCAAUCGCUUCGCCAAAGCCGUGCGGUGAAUUCAGACCGGUGCCGACUGCAGUGCCACCCUGUGCCAGUUCAC
rnacentral:tRNA from 1 species